AGCGAACGCUGGCGGCAGGCUUAACACAUGCAAGUCGAACGGGCUUCUUCGGAAGUCAGUGGCGGACGGGUGAGUAACACGUGGGAACGUGCCCUUCGGUUCGGAAUAACUCAGGGAAACUUGAGCUAAUACCGGAUACGCCCUUUUGGGGAAAGGUUUACUGCCGAAGGAUCGGCCCGCGUCUGAUUAGCUUGUUGGUGGGGUAACGGCCUACCAAGGCGACGAUCAGUAGCUGGUCUGAGAGGAUGAUCAGCCACACUGGGACUGAGACACGGCCCAGACUCCUACGGGAGGCAGCAGUGGGGAAUAUUGGACAAUGGGCGCAAGCCUGAUCCAGCCAUGCCGCGUGAGUGAUGAAGGCCUUAGGGUUGUAAAGCUCUUUUGUCCGGGACGAUAAUGACGGUACCGGAAGAAUAAGCCCCGGCUAACUUCGUG
rnacentral:rRNA from 1 species